CAGAUAUUCUUUUCUAUGGGCAGUAGCCAGUAGGUACAAAAGCACAUACUGUGCACGCAUACUUCUCUGGUGAGAGGUCUGACGGCUCAACUCUAUAAUAACAUAAAAAACUGGGUUUGAUACUUUGAUUUUGUUCGUGUUCAAAAUGUCAACGAGAUAGGAACUAUUAUUAUUGUUGUAAUUUGUUUGUGUGACUGUGAUUUAAUUGUGUGUAAGUUAAUUAAUUUAUGAAAGUGAAAUGACGAUCUCUUUCAGGAACUGCUAAAAACAAUUCUGAGCCGUUUAUUGUUUAUUAUUUUCUUUCGUCAACAAACAUGGCAGUUGACAGUUUGUCUGAUGAUUCUUCUGCUGACUCCGUUAAGGUAAUCGAUGACACUCGAUUAGAUAAGAAAAAAAAGAAAAAGAAACACAAGCAUAGAAGUGAACGGUAUUUAAUUAUUUCUAGAAAACAUAAAAAAACAAAAAAAGAAAAUGGAGAGACCAAAUUAAAAGAUAAGAAGAAAUCGAAUGGCGACCAUAUUCAGAAUGGUAAACAAAAAAGACCUCCAUCUCCACCACCACCUGAAAAUAGUAAAAAGAAAAAAGUUGAAGGACCAGUAAUAACAGAAAUCAAUUUGGACGAAGAAGAAAUGAAUUUAGAAGAACUAAUUAAGCAAAAGGCUUUACUUCAAGCCAGAUUAGGAGCUUAUUUAUCAGAAUCAGAAGAAGCUGAUAAAACCAAUAAAAAAAAAAAGCCAAGUGCUAAAAAAUCAGUUGAAACCAUUAACCUAAUUGAUGACGAGUCAGAUGAAGAAUAUAAAAACAAGAAUAGUGAACGUGUAAGAAGUCCAUUAAAACGUUAUCAUGGUUCCAGUCAAGAAAUUAAGAAAACAAGAGAUAGAAGUGUAAGUAAAGACAUAACUCAUUUAAAGUCAGAUCGCAUGCGAAAAGAAAAAGAACGUGAAAAAGAAAAAGAUCGUGAUAAGGAACAUGAAAGGUGUCGAGAAAAAGAUAAAGAUAGACAAAGAAAAAUUAAACAUUUGGAAGAUGAAAAGCGACGUGAAAUCAGACGAAAAGAAGAGGAAAUUAAAAAAAGAGAAGACGAUUUAAGGAGGCGUGAACAAAGAAGACGAGAUGAAGAAAUAAAAGAAAUAGAAGAAGAAGCAAAAAGACGAACAGAAGAAGUCAGAAGACGAGAAGAACAGAUCAAGCAACGCGAAGAUCAAUUAAGACGGAGACGAGAUCGUAUUAAAAGUCCUAUACCUAAUAGAGACCGUGCAAGAAGUCCGCCUGGUGCUAAUAGAUAUCGGGACCGCGAUCGUGAUCGUGACCGUGAUCGUGAUAGAGAGAGAGAUAGAGAUAGGGACAGAGACAGAGACCGAGAUAAGAGAUAUAAUAGAAAAUAUGAUAGGAGAUCACAUAGUAAAGAACGAUAUUCUAGAUCUCAUAGAGGAAAAGAUAGAGGAGAUAAAUAUAAAGACAGCUUUUCUGAAGGUCUUAAGCGUGAUGAUAAGUCAUCUUCAGAUUCUGACAUUGAUGUAAAUAUAAAUAUUGCGGAAGAUGAAAACGAAGAAGAAAUUAUUGAAAAAAGAAGAAAGCAGAGGGAGGAAUUAUUGAAGAGAUUAGGAGCAAAUAAUAGUAAUUUGCAUAGUGAAGAUUCUAUGAAUCCUUCUCCACAUGGAAGCUAUGCAACUGAAACAUCUGUUCAGCAUUCUCCAGAAAUUCCAUCUCCUAAAGAAACUGAUAGAUUAUUAAAUGAUUCUGAUUCAGCAACUGAUAAAGAGACCACUAAGCCUGAUCAUGUAUUAAAUCCUGAUUUAAUAAAAGGCAAAUGGGAUAUGUUUGCAGAAGCUGAUUCAUUUCAUGCUACACAACAUACUCCUCAACCAGAUGGUAUAUCAAAUGGAAACAAGAGUGUACCAGAAAAUCCUUCUUUAACUGAUAACUGGGAUGAUGCAGAAGGAUAUUAUCGCGUAAGAAUUGGUGAAACUAUGGAUUCACGUUAUACUGUCUAUGGAUAUACUGGGCAAGGAGUAUUUUCUAAUGUCGUUCGUGCCAGAGAUGCGGCCCGCGAUAAUCAAGAUGUGGCUGUUAAGAUUAUACGAAACAAUGAAAUUAUGCACAAGACAGGAUUGAAAGAAUUAGAAAUUCUUAAACGGUUAAAUGAUUCUGAUCCUGACGAUAGGUUUCAUUGUCUCCGUUUAUACCGUCACUUUUUUCACAAACAACAUUUAUGUAUGGUUUUUGAACCUCUUAGUAUGAAUCUUAGAGAGGUGUUGAAGAAAUAUGGCAAAGAUAUUGGAUUGCACAUUAAAGCUGUUCGUUCAUAUAGCCAACAGUUGUUUUUGGCAUUGAAAUUGAUGAAAAAGGCAAACAUAUUACAUGCUGACAUCAAGCCUGAUAAUAUUCUGGUGAAUGAAAGUAAGUUAGUAUUGAAAUUGUGUGAUUUUGGAUCAGCAUCGCACAUAACUGAUAAUGAAAUUACACCAUAUCUGGUCAGUCGAUUUUACCGAUCCCCUGAAAUAAUUUUAGGUAUUCAAUGUGAAUUUGGCAUUGAUAUGUGGUCCGCUGGUUGUACUAUUUAUGAACUUUAUACUGGAAAAAUAUUAUUUCCUGGAAAAACUAAUAACCAAAUGUUGAAAUUUUUUAUGGAUUUGAAAGGAAAAAUGGCCAACAAAACUAUCCGGAAAGGAAUGUUCAAAGACCAACAUUUUGAUAGCAAUUGUAACUUUCUGUAUCACGAAGUUGACAAAGUCACAGAACGAGAAAAAGUUAUAACCAUGUCUUCAAUAAAUCCCAGUCGUGAUUUAUAUACUGAAUUAUUGGGGAACCAAAAAUUACCCGAGGAGCAAAUUCGAAAAGUUGGACAAUUGAAGGACUUGCUUGAUAAAAUACUGACUUUGGAUUCUUCAAAACGCAUUGGAAUAUCACAGGCUUUGAAGGAAAGCUAACUCGAAAAAUCAUACAACACAUAGGAAUUGACAAAAUCAUUUCUCCUCCAAUUUUUAUUUGGGUUACCGAACAGAGAGAUAGAGAGGGGCAAAUCAGAAUGGCUAUUGUAUCGAUAAUUGGUAUCCAUACAGGUAAUAAAAUGAAAUAUUACAUUUAAAACAUGGACUAAUUAAUGUGGAAAUUAUUUAAAAUACAGGCUUUCUUAUUCCAUAUGGAAUACUUCUAAGUGUUGUAGCUACUGCAGUGAAAUUAUUUCAUUUUCAUUAUUACAUAUGAACAUGAAUAACACUGUUUACUUUCAACAUUUUAUUCUACCAAGUACCUGUUUUAAUAGGUUAUAAGCAAAGUACAUAAUAUAUUGUGGGCAUUACAUAAACAUACAUUUUGUUUCGUGAAAAAUGUAUUAUUUUAAAUUUUGAAUGGAACAAAAAAGUUAAAUGAUUAUGUUUUUCCUCAAAACAUUUUCCAACAUUAAUUUGACUGAAAACAGAGAACUCGAGUUAUUAUUGUAAAUAGCUAAGUGUUUUGAAAAUCGUAAGAAUCAGAAAAAAAUUUAAUUGUUGUGUGUUUAAUUAAAUCUGUAGCUUGAAACAGAAGACUAAGAUCCUGUAUCACUUUUUUUAUUUAUUUUUUACUGAGAUUACAUGCAGGUUAAGCCCCAAUGUCAAAAAACAUUAUUUGCUUAUCAUUAGUUAUAUGUUGUGUUAACAUACCUACUUCACAUAUUUAAUUAUUAACAGGCUCAUGAAGGGUAUUGAAGAAUCUACGCUUUUUGUAAUUUCCUUCGACAUUGUAGGGAGUCUUUAUAACCUUCAUAUUAUAUGUUAUCUUAUGGUACCUAAUAUUUUAAAGUAUUAUUAACUAUUUCUCAGUCUAACAGGAAAUUCAAUACCCGGUUUUAUACUCGAACUAACAUUUAUUAAUAAAACAAUUAUUAUUAGGUACUAUUAUUAUUAUUAAUCACUUACAUUCCUACUCCUUUUAGCCUGGUUUUCCAGGAUAGUUUCCUGACGCAGACCUCCAAACUGUACUAUCUAGUGCCAACAUACCUAGUAUAACACUGUAGGCCACAUAUUAUAUGAAGGGGGAAAAUAUUCUACCACUCCUAUCACACAACACAAAUCAUAAUUUAACAAUUUUAUCUGUAAAAAAAUAUUACAUAAAUGGUAAUUUAUUUAAUGUAGGUAUUUAUCAGUAAUUAUUAUAUGAAGUCCCCCGUGGGGCUUAACCUGUUUUAGCAAAAAAAUAUAAUUUUUUAUAGUAGUUUAAGGGCCAGUAUAUUUGAAAUAAUGUGGUCAACUUAUAUGAGAUCGGCUUUUAAUUUGAAUAAAUAGUAGUCCAUUGUUAUUUGAAAAUAUAUGUAUAUAUACCCAUUUAUUUAAAUAAAAACCAGUUUUUUUGGACCCUCGCGCCAAACCAUAAAAAUAUUUCAAAAUAUAUACGUGGGUUACUGUGGCAGAUUAUUUCAUUGAUAAAUAUAAAUAAAUUUAUUCAUUUUCUUUCAAUAUUACCUAGUAACUACAGGAAUAUACCUAACAUAAAUAAUUAUUUAUUCAAAGCUUUCAAGCCACCACUAUAAACUUAAGUGACUAAAGACUAAAUAGUGUCAAGACCACAAUUAAAAAUAUACCAAUACAUAUUAAGUAUAUCUUUAAUUGUGGUUAAGACUAAUGUGAUGAUUGAAUCAAAUUUUAUUUUUAAAAAUAAAGUUAAAAUUUAAGUAGGUGAGAAGAUGUUCAACGAAUCCGCUUAAAAUGCCUUGAACAUUUCUGUCCCCAGCAAAAGACAGGUUGUAGGUAUUCAAUUCUUUAAUGAAUAUUAUAGGUACAUCUACCAACUAUUACAAUUAUUUAGUUGAAAAUUAUACUACCUAACCAAUAAAAAUAUUUUGCUCAAUUGACCUUAGUAGUUUUAGAAACAUGUAAAUUUACAAACAUAUUUAAUACUUACUAGUCAGUAGUCGUAAACAAAUCAUCACUGAAGAAGGCAGGUCUUGAUUAGUUUUUUACAUUUAAAAUAUCAAAUAAUUCUUUAUCAACUAUGAACUAAACUAAAUUUAAAAAAUGCAAUUUGUAAUUAUCAGGCUUAUAAAAAAAUAGUACGGAAGUAAUCCACUAUAACAUGGGUAAUUCGUAAAAUUUAAAAUAAUAGGAUUUUUAUCACACUCACGGUUUAGUCUUUAGACGUUCUGUAAUUCCGGCGGGUCUACACAAUAAUGCCAGUAUAAGUACUCUGUACUGUACUGACCAUAGACAUAUUAGUUAAUAUGUCUAUGGUACUGACUACUAAGAACUAGAUACUUAGUACGGCGACGUCGG